CUUCUUUGCUGGCGACCGGCGCACGGGUGAGUAACACGUAUCCAACCUGCCUUUACUCGGGGAUAGCCUUUCGGAAGAAAGAUUAAUACCCGAUAGUAUAAUGAUUCCGCAUGGUUUCAUUAUUAAAGGAUUCCGGUAAAGGAUGGGGAUGCGUUCCAUUAGGUUGUUGGUGAGGUAACGGCUCACCAAGCCUUCGAUGGAUAGGGGUUCUGAGAGGAAGGUCCCCCACAUUGGAACUGAGACACGGUCCAA
rnacentral:rRNA from 1 species